GUGGGCGUCCUCUACUGUGGUAACAUCACAUCACAUGCAACAGGCUUUAUUGAUACCAGAGUUGUGUUCAAUAGGCACGAAACUAAAGAAAAUGGUUCGAAAUGGGGAGGUACUACAAUAUCUGAACUUGCCCGAUAAGAAGUGUUCGUUUUUGUUUUCAGUUCCAAGGCGUUUUGCUACGGUGUGCCCUAAUGAACACGACCCAGGGUUAUACGAACAUGCCUUUGUCCUCCUAUUUUUGUCAAUUUUUCAUAGUUUCUUGUAUUGUUGCCGUGGUGAUAUACUGUAGUAAGGUGUUUUAAACAGGCAAUUAACCUCCCUGUAAGGCACUGAUCAAUUAAACUCUGGAUUCCGGAUGCUAUGUAUUGGCCGAUGAGAGGUUUUGAAGCCACCGGUCGGACAUAUUGMCUGUCCUCAGAAGAAGCAAUCCUCCAUAGGAAUGAAUGGAUUUUAUUUUUAUUUUUUCAAAAGCUUGAAUAAGUCGCUAGUGGUCAUCCAAUGUGAUGCAAUCAUAUCAAUAUUGCACCUUUAGCCUGCCUGAAGGAGAAAAGGAAAAAUGAUAGAGCCCGGGCCAAGACUAGAGUAAACCUCGGAUUUGCGUUCACUUAGUGGAGAGAACAAUGAGAGCUGAAGCGAUUCAAAACUGACACAGUUUGCAUUUUUUCUGCUGAAAAUGUAAGACAUUGCUAGGUAGAUAAUACAUCUUUCUAGAUAUAAAGUGAAAUUAUGGUUUUGAUAUUUAGUUGUAAAUAUGUAUGCAAGUGUUUAUUUUGGUUUGCUUGUUUUGAUUGUUGUCAAGCCACACAUCCAAUAGUUUGUAUUAGCUUGUGCAGCUUAUUUGCUGACCUUGACAUUUUUUAUUUUUUCAUUUGAAUAUAACAUUUAGCUUCACUAGUUAGUCCUAACUAGCUACCUAAUUUAUGUGUAUAACGUCACUUGACCUUGUGUUAUAUUUCUGUGGUCUGAAAGUCACGCUGUGAUAUUAGCUAGCUAGCUAUUUCACACACUACUCUACUGGCACGGAGUAGCCAUGAUCAUAAAGUUCAUUUCAGAUACACAAGUUGAGACACAAUGCAACGGUUUGUUUGAUCUGAAGGGUCUAGUUUUAGAACCUGUCAUGUCGUCGGCUGGAUUUUCCAAGAUUCACUGACGAAACGGUGUCAACUGCACGUCUCUUCUUCUUGAUCUGAAUGCCCUGUCUUUAGUCAGCUGUUGUACAACACAACAAUCUAAAACUAGCUAGUUUUGUCUGUUGGCUGUUCUAUCUGAACUGGACUUCAUUGCUUGACGUCAAAGCUCUCAAAAAUAUCUUUGAACCUGAAAUAUAAUUUUUAAGUCAUGAAAGGAAUAAAUCGACAUCAACACCUAGCAAGCCUGUUUCCAGCCCCACCAUUGUUGAGUAUUGGAGCAGAAUCAGAUCGCUAAAGGAGACUCUACAAUAACAAGUCUUGAAGGUGGAGUGUCUACACAUUGAAAACUGCACAGGACUACAGCCCAGAACUUCAGAGAGCAGUGUUGAGAACACUGGGCUCUUGAUUGGGGCUACCAAGGGGAAUGAUACUGAGAUCAGAUGAUCCAAGACUCCCUGAAGUGCCACCACCAACAACGGAUGACCUGCUACAACUUUGAGGAGACGUCGACAUGCGACACAGGAUGCAGUUAGCACAGCUUUGAGCAGGGAAGGACCUGAGCUAUCCGUUUUGUCAGAAUUGGUCAUUCCCGGGAAGUGAAAACCUAUGGAGUACUCAGAAAUGUACUCAGAAAUGUUGUUGAAAGAGUUGGGCCUACAACCAAACAUAUAUAAAUAAGGGAUGUUUGUGUGGGCAACAAUAAACUUGUGUGAGAAACAA